rnacentral:misc_RNA from 1 species
CCGAGUUUACAACUCCCAAACCCCUGUGAACAUACCUAUACGUUGCCUCGGCGGAUCAGCCCACGCCCCGUAAAAAGGGACGGCCCGCCCGAGGACCCCUAAACUCUGUUUUUAGUGGAACUUCUGAGUAAAACAAACAAAUAAAUCA